UAAAGAACAUGCCCCCUCCCCUACUUCAGA
rnacentral:piRNA from 1 species